GAUCCUGGCUCAGGAUGAACGCUGGCGGCGUGCCUAAUACAUGCAAGUAGAACGCUGAAGGAGGAGCUUGCUCUUCUGGAUGAGUUGCGAACGGGUGAGUAACGCGUAGGUAACCUGCCUGGUAGGCGGGGGAUAACUAUUGGAAACGAUAGCUAAUACCGCAUGACAACAGUUAUUGCAUGAUAACUGUUUAAAAGGGGCAACUGCUCCACUACCAGAUGGACCUGCGUUGUA
rnacentral:rRNA from 1 species